rnacentral:rRNA from 1 species
AUUGAACGCUAGCGGCAUGCUUAACACAUGCAAGUCGAGCGAGCGGCGGACGGGUGAGUAAUGUCUGGGAAACUGCCUGAUGGAGGGGGAUAACUACUGGAAACGGUAGCUACUACCGCAUACCAUUGGAUGUGCCGAGGUGGGAUUAGCUAGUGGGUGGGGUAAUGGCUCACCAAGGCGACGAUCCCUAGCUGGUAUGAGAGGAUGACCAGCCACACUGGAACUGAGACACGGGCCAGACGCCUACGGGAGGCAGCAGUGGGGAAGAUUGCACAAUGGGCGAAAGCCUGAUGCAGCCAUGCCGCGUGUGUGAAGAAGGCCUUCGGGUUGUAAAGUACUUUCAGCGAGGAGGCGGUACUCGCAGAAGAAGCACCGGCUAACUCCGUGCCAGCAGCCGCGGUAAUAC